CUCACAGAUCGUGAGGUGGUCGCCAAGUGGCAAGGAAGCACCCAUGACCUCCACAUGCUAUCGCAGAGCUGUAUCAGAGACAACUUCGGAGGAGGAACUUCAAACGGGCUCGUCAUCGUGGAUGGCGAUCGGCUACGAUGGCCGUGAUUGAUCGUGCCCUACCGCUGGGUAGACACGCCAGCGGAGUGCGCAUACAACCAGGUGCACAGAAAACUGGAAAAAAAAAAACCCGUGUGCUGGCUGCCGAGCCUGCGGGUGGUGC